CCACGCCGUAAACGAUGUCUACUUGGAGGUUGUGGCCUUGAGCCGUGGCUUUCGGAGCUAACGCGUUAAGUAGACCGCCUGGGGAGUACGGUCGCAAGAUUAAAACUCAAAUGAAUUGACGGGGGCCCGCACAAGCGGUGGAGCAUGUGGUUUAAUUCGAUGCAACGCGAAGAACCUUACCUACUCUUGACAUCCAGAGAACUUUC
rnacentral:rRNA from 1 species